rnacentral:lncRNA from 1 species
AUGUUUAUGAGGCUGGGUUGGUUCAAGGGAUGUUGCUCUCAAAACAGAUAAAAGAUGUUAUCGCCGCUGAGAUAAAGAAGGGGAUGGUAGCUCUAAAUAUACAACCCCAAGUGGCCCCUGUCAAAUUACUAAAGCAUACUAGUUGUAGCCUUUGUGGAGGAGCACAUAAAACUGGAGCUUGUGAAGCACUGGAUGACAAUGAGUUAGAAGAACUAGAACAGGUGAAUUUUGUUAGUAAUAACGGCAGGAAGAAUAAUCCCUACUCUAGUACGUAC